rfam:Gossypium hirsutum cultivar TM-1 unplaced genomic scaffold scaffold377.1, whole genome shotgun sequence
UGUUAAAGAUUUCAUCCAUUUGUAUUGUUAAAAACUGGCUUGAUUGAUGGAAUAACCAGAUAGUGACACGUGACAUGCCAUGCAUACCUUAUGUUGAUGUAUAGGGACAAGUUUUUAACAAUAAAAAUGAAUGAACUUUUUAACA